rnacentral:rRNA from 1 species
CCGACGGGUGAGUAACGCGUAUGCAACUUGCCUAUCAGAGGGGGAUAACCCGGCGAAAGUCGGACUAAUACCGCAUGAAGCAGGGAUCCCGCAUGGGAAUAUUUGCUAAAGAUUCAUCGCUGAUAGAUAGGCAUGCGUUCCAUUAGGCAGUUGGCGGGGUGACGGCCCACCAAACCGACGAUGGAUAGGGGUUCUGAGAGGAAGGUCCCCCACAUUGGUACUGAGACACGGACCAA